CUGCAAACAACACUGGCUGGCUGGUUAACGAAAGUUCCCGAACUCCACCGGCAUUUCCCGGAACCGUGUGCGGCAAAUGUACAGGAGGAAACACGUGGCCAGGCACGCUUAUCAACUGCAUAAUAUAGAUCAAAAUAUUGUAUUAAACAUCUGGCGGCUUUACAUCCUAAUUGAAUAUAGUAUAUUUUAAUAGCCCGACGAGUUAUCUCAGUUCGUUCAUCAUGACGUUGAUGUGCUACAACAAAGGUUGCGGACAACGAUUUGACCCAGACGACAACGCUGGUGAUGCCUGCACCUUUCACCCUGGCGUGCCUGUUUUUCACGAUGCUCUUAAGGGCUGGUCCUGCUGCACGAGACGCACCACAGACUUCUCAGACUUCCUCAGCAUAGAGGGCUGCAGCAGAGGUAUCCAUAACAGAGAGAAGCCAGUGGAGCCGAUCCUGCCGGAGGUGACGAGCUCAGAGGGGAGGAGAGAGAAGGGGGAGGAGCUAAAGCCUCGUGGUGACCCCUAUAUCAUUCAGGCUCCUAAACCACUAGAGCUGAUACACAGACCCAGUGGUGAUGAGCCCCUGGUCAGACUUCAGCAGAAGGUGUUCUCCUCUCUGAGACAGGCUCUGGAGAAACUGCAGCUGGCAGAGAGCAGGCAGCCUCACAACACAGAGGAAGAGGGGGUGAAGAUUGGCACGUCCUGUAAGAAUGGAGGCUGCUCCAAGUCUUUCUCUGGUCCAGGGAGUAACGAGGAGAAGUGUAAACACCACCCUGGAGUCCCUAACUUCCACGAGGGGAUGAAGUUCUGGAGCUGCUGUAGGAGGAAGUCGUCUGACUUUAACUGUUUCCUGGCCCAGGAGGGCUGCACCACAGGAAGUCACCUCUGGAGGAAACCAGACAAGGGGAUGAAGGUGGUACCGUGUAGGUUUGAUUGGCACCAGACAGGCGGCCAGGUCAUCAUCUCGAUCUAUGCCAAGAACUCUCUACCAGAGCUCAGCUAUGCAGAGGCCAACGGCACCACGUGGUUAGUAUAUCUGUGUUCUAGGUGAUCAUCCGUGUGGUCUUUGAGGGAGAGAAGGAGUUUGAGCAGAAGAUCAACUUAUGGGGGGUGAUCGAUGUGACUAGCAGUGUGGUGAACAUGAUGUCUUCCAAGAUGGAGAUCUCUAUGGGGAAGGGGGAGCCAAUCACCUGGGCCCGUCUGGACCUGCCCUCUCCCACAGACACGCCCACUGAGGGGGGGAAUGGGAUUGGAAAGGCGUAGAACUAGACAGAAGGAAAUCAAUCACAUGGUACAUGCUCCUCCCAUAUGUUUUAGUGAACCUGUUGAAGAUCGGCUGAGAGCAGUAUUUUUUACUGACAUGCUACUCAGAAUGCGGAGGCUAAACUUCACUGAAACACUGUCUGAAGGCGAUAACCAUCAGGUCUUCCUACUGAAACACAGUAACCAUCAGGUCUUCUUACUACCUCCUCACUUGAAAAGAGAUGCAGGCAGCUAUCACCCUAGCAUCCUUCAUCAGGAUCUGUAUCUAAGGAGCAAUUGGGGACAGCCAGUCAGAAUGUAAACUGUUCUCACACACACACACACACACACACACACACACACCAGAGGAGGACAGGCUCAUUGGAAUGGCUGGAAGGAAUUGAACAGAGUCGAAUGUAGUUUCCAUAUGUGUUUGAUACCUUUUCAUUCAUGCCACACACACAGUCCUUCUGUUCUUUGUCAAUUGCAUUUGAGGAUAUUUGUGCCAUUUAUUGAUAUUAGUUGCCUUCCAGAAAAUGUAACCUGUCAAAUGAAGGUCUCUUACUUUAACAGUCUUUGUUUUAGGUUGUAAUUGUUUUUGCUCACUUCUGAGAUCUGUGAUUUAGUUUCACUCUUUACUUGCUGUUGUUUCCAUACAAGGCAAAUAAAGCUAUGAGCUCUCCCACAGACUUAAUAAACCUCUGAACCUACAUUGUAA